GUAGCCAAAGGUGGGUUUAAUGCUUCUGCUUUUGCAACAACUUAUAAAAUACAAAGUUAAAAAUAUGGUAUCAUUUUCAUCUGCAUUAAAAACUGGUCGUAUGCUUUGUUUUACUAUAUACACCUAAAUAAAGUAUAUUUUAGGUUAUUUUGUGCUCAAACCACAGCAUUAAGAAAGAUAUUCAUCUAUUUAGGAAGAUUAUCUUGUUAAUAAAAGUCAACUCAGUGCUAGCUACAACUCCACACACAAUAUGGGAAGUGUUCUAGGACUAUGAUAAGAUUUCUCUAAGAAUAUUACAGUGUGAUAAAUGCCACUGGGAUAGUGACCUUUAAAAGCCUGUUACUAGAUUUUUGCAGCUUCAGAGCUACCAUUUUAAUCUACACUGAGUAGUGCCUGCCCUCAGAGCAGGAGAGGCUGGAAGCUGCUCUGCCUGCCUGGUGGGCUGAACCCUCCCCAAAGGCUCCAUAGGAACAGGGGACACUUCUCCUGACAGGGGAGAUUGCUUUCUUCCUGAACUUUGGCAGGUCACAGCCAUUUCCAUCCAGUGCAGAGGGUAAGCACUGCUAUUCUGUUCUGAACAGCAGCCAGCUCCAUUCCAGAGCAGCCAGUGAAGUGUCACAUCCAAAUAACACAACUUGGAUACCUUAAGAGUUUAAAACCUGCAGGUGUUUAAAAAUUACACAGGCCUGCAGACGGCUCAAAUGUUGAUUAAAUUAUCUGUGGCAAGCCACU
rnacentral:lncRNA from 7 species